UCUCCAGACUUUUUGCCACAACUCCCUGAGU
rnacentral:piRNA from 1 species